AUGAACGCUGGCGGCGUGCUUAACACAUGCAAGUCGAGCGAAGCACUUAGGAAAGAUUCUUCGGAUGAUUUUCUAUUUGACUGAGCGGCGGACGGGUGAGUAACGCGUGGGUAACCUGCCUCAUACAGGGGGAUAACAGUUAGAAAUGACUGCUAAUACCGCAUAAGACCACAGCACCGCAUGGUGCAGGGGUAAAAACUCCGGUGGUAUGAGAUGGACCCGCGUCUGAUUAGUUAGUUGGUGGGGUAACGGCCUACCAAGGCGACGAUCAGUAGCCGACCUGAGAGGGUGACCGGCCACAUUGGGACUGAGACACGGCCCAAACUCCUACGGGAGGCAGCAGUGGGGAAUAUUGCACAAUGGGGGAAACCCUGAUGCAGCGACGCCGCGUGAGCGAAGAAGUAUUUCGGUAUGUAAAGCUCUAUCAGCAGGGAAGAAAAUGACGGUACCUGACUAAGAAGCCCCGGCUAACUACGUGCCAGCAGCCGCGGUAAUACGUAGGGGGCAAGCGUUAUCCGGAUUUACUGGGUGUAAAGGGAGCGUAGACGGAGCAGCAAGUCUGAUGUGAAAACCCGGGGCUCAACCCCGGGACUGCAUUGGAAACUGUUGAUCUGGAGUGCCGGAGAGGUAAGCGGAAUUCCUAGUGUAGCGGUGAAAUGCGUAGAUAUUAGGAGGAACACCAGUGGCGAAGGCGGCUUACUGGACGGUAACUGACGUUGAGGCUCGAAAGCGUGGGGAGCAAACAGGAUUAGAUACCCUGGUAGUCCACGCCGUAAACGAUGAGUGCUAGGUGUUAGGCCCUUUCCGGGGCUUAGUGCCGGAGCUAACGCAAUAAGCACUCCGCCUGGGGAGUACGACCGCAAGGUUGAAACUCAAAGGAAUUGACGGGGACCCGCACAAGCGGUGGAGCAUGUGGUUUAAUUCGAAGCAACGCGAAGAACCUUACCUGCUCUUGACAUCCCGGUGACGGCAGAGUAAUGUCUGUUUUUCUUCGGAACACCGGUGACAGGUGGUGCAUGGUUGUCGUCAGCUCGUGUCGUGAGAUGUUGGGUUAAGUCCCGCAACGAGCGCAACCCUUAUCCUUAGUAGCCAGCGGUAAAGCCGGGCACUCUAGGGAGACUGCCAGGGAUAACCUGGAGGAAGGUGGGGAUGACGUCAAAUCAUCAUGCCCCUUAUAAGCAGGGCUACACACGUGCUACAAUGGCGUAAACAAAGGGAAGCGAACCCGCGAGGGUGGGCAAAUCCCAAAAAUAACGUCUCAGUUCGGAUUGUAGUCUGCAACUCGACUACAUGAAGCUGGAAUCGCUAGUAAUCGCGAAUCAGAAUGUCGCGGUGAAUACGUUCCCGGGUCUUGUACACACCGCCCGUCACACCAUGGGAGUCAGUAACGCCCGAAGUCAGUGACCCAACCGUAAGGAGGGAGCUGCCGAAGGUGGGACCGAUAACUGGGGUG
rnacentral:rRNA from 1 species